GACGAAGGGGGCUAGCGUUGUUCGGAAUUACUGGGCGUAAAGCGCGUGUAGGCGGUUGUUCAAGUCAGGUGUGAAAGCCUUGAGCUCAACUCAAGAAAUGCACUUGAUACUGGAUGACUAGAGGACCGGAGAGGAUAGUGGAAUUCCCAGUGUAGUGGUGAAAUACGUAGAGAUUGGGAAGAACACCAGUGGCGAAGGCGGCUAUCUGGACGGUUUCUGACGCUAAGACGCGAAAACGUGGGGAGCAAACAGG
rnacentral:rRNA from 1 species